rnacentral:rRNA from 1 species
AGGGAAUAGCCACUUGAAAAGGUGAUUAAUACCCUAUAGGUAACUUUCUCACAAGAGUUAGUUAUUAAAGCUUUAUGCGCUGAGGGAUUGGGAUAUGCUCUAUUAGCUUGUUGGCGGGGUAAAAGCCCACCAAGGCUAUGAUAGAUAGCUGGUCUUAGAGGAUGAACAGCCACAAUGGGAUUGAGAUACGGCCCAUAUUCCUACGGGAAGCAGCAGUAGGGAAUCUUCCACAAUGGACGAAAGUCUGAUGGAGCAAUACCAUGUGAACGAUGAAGGUCUUUUUGAUUGUAAAGUUCUUUUAUGAGGGAUAACAACUGAUAGUACCUCAUGAAUAAGUGACAGCAAACUAUGUGCCAGCAGCUGCGGUAAUACAUAGGUCGCAAGCAUUAUUCGGAUUUAUUGGGCGUAAAGCAAGCGCAGGCGGAUGUGUAAGUUCUGUGUUAAAAGUAGCUACUUAAUAGUUGUUUGCAC